rnacentral:rRNA from 1 species
UACAGAGGUCUCAAGCGUUGUUCGGAUUCAUUGGGCGUAAAGGGUGCGUAGGCGGCGCGGUAAGUCGGGUGUGAAAUCUCGGAGCUUAACUCCGAAACUGCAUUCGAUACUGCCGUGCUUGAGGACUGGAGAGGAGACUGGAAUUACGGUGUAGCGGUGAAUGCAUAGAUAAUCAGGAGGAACACCAGCGGCGAAGGCGGCACUCUGGGCUGGAACUGACGCUGAGGAGCGAAAGCGUGGGGAGCGAACAGG